GCUCCUGGGGCUCCCAUUUCAGCAUUAAUAUUACACACGAUCUAAAAAAAAAUAUACAGUCGUGCGUUACGUUAUGACAGGGGAUACAUUUUGAGAAAUGUCUCGUUAGGUGAUUUUGUCUUUGUGCAAAUAUUGUACGGUAUAGCCUACUAUACACCAAAGCUACAGUAAACCUCUUUUGUGAGUAGAAAUAGUACACUCUAAAAUAACGAUAAAAAGUACAGUAUAGCAUAUAACCUAGUAUUUAUUAUCCUUAUGAAACAUUAUAUACUGUACACAAUUGUAUGUCCUACACACCUAUACGACUGCCAAUGCAGUAGGUGUGUUAACACUAGCAUCACCACAAACACAUGAGUAAUAUGUUGAGUUAAGAUGUUACGACGGCUGGGUGGCGCACUCAUCAACUAGCAGUGCUACCAUACAGCUGCAUCAUGGGACCACUGCGUAUGUGCGAAUGAAUAUGCGGCGAAUGACUGUAUAUAUUAUUUUGAAAAAUUUCAAAGUUAAAAGAUCUUGUGAUCUGAGAUAAUUUCACAGUUUUUUCGUAACUCGCUAGCUAUACUUAGGAUAGCCACCUAGGUACUUGCUACCUGUUUUAAUAUCUGUUUUGUCUUAAUACCUGUCUUUCUGUGGCUUUGCAGAGGUGCGGCUUCACAACAGGGCUGCGGGUUUGAUUCCCACUCUACCUCUGCCAGGGUGCCGCUUUCUUUUAGCUGCUGCAGUUCCCCCCUGCAGUCCAAAGGCAGAUCCCAUAUCUAAAUUGCCCUUUUUUCGUGCGAGCUGGCAUCCCACCCAGCGUGUGCCCCAAGCCUCCUGGGAUAGGUUGCCCAGCAAUCCUGCAGGGCUUAUUCGGUGUAUUGUGUCUCAUCAUUGCUUAACUAUGCUGCCUUGCUGAUGUCCUGAUGCUAACAUAGCCCCCUCCACCCCAGUUCUCCUGCUCCCUAUUUGGAAAGCCAUGUGCCGCAGUGCAGUGAAGUACUGCUUCACCGUCACUGCCUCACAGUGCAGGGCACUGAUGAAGGAGCUGGGGCCUGCUAUAGGGCUUCCCUUUGUGUCAGGCGACUCAGAAAGACGCCCACCCUGAAGGACCCGCUUCUCAUUAUGCUCAUACCCUCUCCACACUCAUGCCCCCAACCCCCGUCUCUCUAUCUUCUUUCUCUGUUCUGUCCCUCCUCUCCUCCUUUUGCUGCCUGAGAUGUUAAAAUCCCCGUUAAGGCCUGCGUCGACCCUUCUCAGCAGAGAAUUGUGGGAAAUGGCUGCACUCUCACUGUUCAGCCCGGACUCCAGACAGUGCUGCAAGAGUGAACGGACUCAAAAUGACUAUCACUGUCUCGCGAGGCUAACUUUGACUCCCACACUUUGACACCCGCCACCUUGACCACGCCCACCCGGGACCGGCGCAGCAGUGCGUGAGUCAGCAUGAGGACGGAAACACCCACUGCAUUGUACAUAGCGAGCGACGGGACGGGACACUUCUUCUGUGCUUGCGUGUGUGUGCGUGUGCGCGUGUGAGUGUCGUUGUAAAAUUCAGAUUUGUUUAUUGUGAUGAGUAUGUCAGUUUGUAAUUGUAACUUUCUGAGAAACACUGUACUAAAUUGCACUCAAUAAAGAUGGUUGAUCGGACUCCC